AGUUCUUCCUCUCUAAGGUAUACAAGAAAUACAAAAACUGUCAAACAAACCUUCUCUUUGCCAAUAAUAAAACAAUGAGAUUGGUAACUGAUUAGCAAACACAAUCAGAAUAUCUCCGACUAUGAUUCAUCCAUCGAGUCGCUAUGAUUAAAGGAUUGAGAUCUUACAUCCUUAUUAUCCGGCCCCAGCUCGGAACCUGACGUUUUCGAGACAGAAUCCUCAAGGGCCUCGAGAAAAGACAAUACUG
rnacentral:misc_RNA from 1 species